rnacentral:rRNA from 1 species
GAGUGAACGCUGGCGGUAGGCCUAACACAUGCAAGUCGAACGGCAGCACAGUGAGAGCUUGCUCUUACGGGUGGCGAGUGGCGGACGGGUGAGGAAUACAUCGGAAUCUACUUUUUCGUGGGGGAUAACGUAGGGAAACUUACGCUAAUACCGCAUACGACCUACGGGUGAAAGCAGGGGAUCUUCGGACCUUGCGCGAUUGAAUGAGCCGAUGUCGGAUUAGCUAGUUGGCGGGGUAAAGGCCCACCAAGGCGACGAUCCGUAGCUGGUCUGAGAGGAUGAUCAGCCACACUGGAACUGAGACACGGUCCAGACUCCUACGGGAGGCAGCAGUGGGGAAUAUUGGACAAUGGGCGCAAGCCUGAUCCAGCCAUACCGCGUGGGUGAAGAAGGCCUUCGGGUUGUAAAGCCCUUUUGUUGGGAAAGAAAAGCAGCAGGUUAAUACCCCGCUGUUCUGACGGUACCCAAAGAAUAAGCACCGGCUAACUUCGUG